GGGCUUAUGAUGAUAACAUUAAUUAUUUUAGCAGAUUUCAGUGAGACUUUAUAGUCAAUGAUCUGAAUGUUAUGAUGAUAACAUGGAGUUU